UAAAGAACCUACCCUUUAGCGGGGGAUAGCCCUGGGAAACUGGGGGUAAUACCGCAUACGCAGUUGAAGACGCAUGUCAUUAACUGGAAAGGGAUGAGCAAUCAUCUCACUGAAGGAAGGCUUUGCGACCUAUCAGGUAGUUGGUGGGGUAAAGGCCUACCAAGCCAAAGACGGGUAGCUGGUCUGAGAGGAUGGUCAGCCACACUGGGACUGAGAUACGGCCCAG
rnacentral:rRNA from 1 species